GAUGAACGCUGGCGGCGUGCCUAAUACAUGCAAGUCGAGCGAACAGACGAGGAGCUUGCUCCUCUGACGUUAGCGGCGGACGGGUGAGUAACACGUGGAUAACCUACCUAUAAGACUGGGAUAACUUCGGGAAACCGGAGCUAAUACCGGAUAAUAUAUUGAACCGCAUGGUUCAAUAGUGAAAGACGGUUUUGCUGUCACUUAUAGAUGGAUCCGCGCCGCAUUAGCUAGUUGGUAAGGUAACGGCUUACCAAGGCAACGAUGCGUAGCCGACCUGAGAGGGUGAGCGGCCACACUGGAACUGAGACACGGUCCAGACUCCGACGGGAGGCAGCAGUAGGGAAUCUGACGAAAUGGGCAAAAGCCUGACGGAGCAACGCCGCGUGAGUGAUGAAGGUCUUCGGAUCGUAAAACUCUGUUAUUAGGGAAGAACAAAUGUGUAAGUAACUAUGCACGUCUUGACGGUAGCUAAUCAGAAAGCCACGGCUAACUACGUG
rnacentral:rRNA from 1 species